ACGCUCGACACCUACGGGGGCAGCAGUGGGGAAUAUUGCACAAUGGGGGAAACCCUGAUGCAGCGACGCCGCGUGAAGGAAGAAGUAUCUCGGUAUGUAAACUUCUAUCAGCAGGGAAGAAAGUGACGGUACCUGACUAAGAAGCCCCGGCUAACUACGUGCCGNAGCCGCGGUAAUCUGAGCGGGCUGGCAAGGC
rnacentral:rRNA from 1 species